rnacentral:tRNA from 1 species
UCAGUUAGGUAGAGCACCUCGUUUACACGCGCGCCAAUGACGGUUCGAGUCCGUAUAGCCCUAAUAUUCCUACA